UGGGGGUUUAGAGAUCGAGAGAGGGAGAAGUGAAGAGCGAGAGGUAGUGGAGGUUUAGAGAUCGAGAGAGGGAGAAGUGAAGAGCGAGAGGUAGUGGAGGUUUAGAGAUCGAGAGAGGGAGACGUGAAGAGAGAGGUAGUGGGGGUUUAGAGAUCGAGAGAGGCAGAAGUGAAGAGAGAGGUAGUGGGGGUUUAGAGAUCGAGAGAGGGAGAAGUGAAGAGCGAGGUAGUGGGGGUUUAGAGAUCGAGAGAGGGAGAAGUGAAGAGAGGUAGUGGAGGUUUAGAGAUCGAGAGAGGGAGAAGUGAAGAGAGAGGUAGUGGAGGUUUAGAGAUCGAGAGAGGGAGAAGUGAAGAGAGAGAUUAAAGUGGUGGCUACAGAGACAGAAAGAGAAAGAUGUAGAGACUUUUUGUGAGAGAGCGUGCAAUUUCAUUAUGUCUGCUGUAGCCCAUACCAAAUAUGGAG
ensembl:lncRNA